CUUGGUAGCUGUGAAGAAAACAGAAGAAAACAAAAUCCCACAGUUUCUGAGUCCCACAUCCAGAGAUCCUGAUUUCAUUGGUCUGGAGGGAAUUUGGGAGCGGGGAUGGGGUUAAGAGACUGUGCUGUCAGGAAACUGGUAUGAAUGCGGAUCCAGAGCCGCCUCACAGCUUUUCAAGACAAAAGCUGAGCAAAGAUGGGGAAAACAGAAGGUGGACUGUGUCUCUUGUUCUGGGCUACUGUCAGGGCUGAGCAGAGCCAGUUUAUGUCCCUGUGGGGGCCGUCCACAGAGUGCUGCCACCGAGCGGCCUGGGGCAGCUGUGGACCCAGGAUCUGGAUAAGAUGAUCUCAUCAGAAGAGCUGGAACAGAAUCCAGCCACUCUGGACUGCACACCAUCGCCUCUUCCCUCUCCUGCACUGGGUUGGGUCCUGGUUGCAGCAUGUGGGAUCUUCGAUCUUCGUUGUGGC